UGCGGAGCUUUUCCUUUGGCUAAAGAUAUCCUGAGGAUCUCUCUGCUCUCAAAUUACAGCUGGUUUCGUCACUUGGAAGCCAGGGAACAAGUUUGGAAAAGAACCUCUCACCAGGUCUCCACUAUUAAAGAUACUUAGCAUCAUGGAAACAUAGACCAAAGGAGUUUUCUUACUGUUUAUGCCAAGUGGAAGACCAAGGCCUAUUUUCACUCUAUCCCAGAAGAAAACUACAACUUCCUUCAGUUGAAAGACUGGACUGUUGGACUCAAGAGCUACAUUGCUUCAUUCCUUUUUCUCUGGGACAUUCAGAAAUGACAACAGAUGGAUUCAUAUUGGCUGCUUGGCCAAAGAAGCGAAGAGGAAUUUACUCUGAUUCAUUCCAUUUCUUGCACAAUCUCUCUCUGACUUACUAACCAAUUCAAUUAAGCAAACCUAUAUUAAGCACUUACUACUUGCUCCCCACUUGCAGGGUGCAGUAUUAAGGUAACUACAGACACAAAGAUGUGCAAUAAGAAGUUUCAGCCUACAAAGAGCUUGCUCCCUGGUUGAAGAGUCGGGCAUAUACCCAUAUAAAGUUAUCAUACGAAGGGUGAAGAGUGUGAAGAGUGUUUACUUUCUUCCUGCAAAGACCUCAUCUAAAGAUACACACUCCAUAUUGUGUAUUAGAAAGGAAUCAUUUUUGUACAAAUAACUAAAAGUCCACUUCAGUCUAACUAAGGGCAUUAACUUACAGGAAGCCUAAGAUUAGAUAUUCAGAGAAGGCCUAGUCCAACCUAGUUUUUCUCUCACUAUUUCUUGGUUUAUGUCCUCAGCUUAUAUUCAUGCAUGGGCAGUCUCUUUCGUUUGUGUUCUAAGAUGAUUACCAGUGUCUUCCAGAGCUUUGUGCUUCUUUAUUCAUAUGUAACAGGAAUGACAGAUUGAAUUUCCUGGUAGCUCAAAUGCAGCUCCCUCAAAUCAGCCUCAGUGGUCAUGGGUGGCCUGAUUUGGAUCAUGAAUAUGUCUUCAAACCAGGCUUACUGUAGUGAGAUUUGGGAUUAAACCACUUUGCUUAAGACAAUAAGGGCCCCAUUCUGUAGCUGAAGGCAAGGUAUCAAGCAAACUAUAUGGCUGGGUUAUUUAGUGUUCUGUUAAGGAAAGGAACAGUAUGGGAGUACAUUCUGGGGAAGUAACCAUGAAUAAUUCCCCUACCUUAUGGUUUUGUCUUCAUUAACCACAUCGAAGAGAAACUGCCACCCUUGCUGAUAAGUGUUGAUCAGUUGGGUAUAUGGAGGAAAACACCCUGAUUUGUAGUAUUUGUUGAUUUCCUUAGUCUAAAUACUCUCACAAUGGCUAAUGUCAUUGAACUCAAAGUUGGGAA
rnacentral:lncRNA from 1 species